AACGAACGCUGGCGGCAGGCCUAACACAUGCAAGUCGAGCGCCCCGCAAGGGGAGCGGCGGACGGGUGAGUAACGCGUGGGAAUAUGCCCUUUGCUACGGAAUAGUCUCGGGAAACUGGGGGUAAUACCGUAUACGCCCUUUGGGGGAAAGAUUUAUCGGCGAAGGAUUAGCCCGCGUUGGAUUAGGUAGUUGGUGGGGUAAUGGCCUACCAAGCCGACGAUCCAUAGCUGGUUUGAGAGGAUGAUCAGCCACACUGGGACUGAGACACGGCCCAGACUCCUACGGGAGGCAGCAGUGGGGAAUCUUAGACAAUGGGGGCAACCCUGAUCUAGCCAUGCCGCGUGAGUGAUGAAGGCCUUAGGGUUGUAAAGCUCUUUCAGCUGGGAAGAUAAUGACGGUACCAGCAGAAGAAGCCCCGGCUAACCCCGUG
rnacentral:rRNA from 1 species